rnacentral:rRNA from 1 species
AUGCCUUACACAUGCAAUGUCGAACGGCAGCGCGGGGCAACCUGGCGGCGAGUGGCGAACGGGUGAGUAAUAUAUCGGAACGUACCCUGGAGUGGGGGAUAACGUAGCGAAAGUUACGCUAAUACCGCAUACGAUCUAAGGAUGAAAGUGGGGGAUCGCAAGACCUCAUGCUCCUGGAGCGGCCGAUAUCUGAUUAGCUAGUUGGUAGGGUAAAAGCCUACCAAGGCAUCGAUCAGUAGCUGGUCUGAGAGGACGACCAGCCACACUGGAACUGAGACACGGUCCAGACUCCUACGGGAGGCAGCAGUGGGGAAUUUUGGACAAUGGGCGCAAGCCUGAUCCAGCAAUGCCGCGUGAGUGAAGAAGGCCUUCGGGUUGUAAAGCUCUUUUGUCAGGGAAGAAACGGACCUUUCUAAUACAGGGGUCUAAUGACGGUACCUGAAGAAUAAGCACCGGCUAACUACGUGCCAGCAGCCGCGGUAAUACGUAGGGUGCAAGCGUUAAUCGGAAUUACUGGGCGUAAAGCGUGCGCAGGCGGUUUUGUAAGUUUGUCGUGAAAUCCCCGGGCUCAACCUGGGAAUGGCGAUGGAGACUGCAAGGCUAGAGUUUGGCAAAGGGGGGUAGAAUUCCACGUGUAGCAGUGAAAUGCGUAGAUAUGUGGAGGAACACCGAUGGCGAAGGCAGCCCCCUGGGUCAAAACUGACGCUCAUGCACGAAAGCGUGGGGAGCA